AAUAUUAAGAACAUGAUGUUGGUUCAGAUUAAACGCUAAAUAAGGACAUGACACAUGCAAAUUAAACGUUUAUUAUAAAAAUUAUAAUAAAUAUGUAGUGUAUACGUGAGUAAUUUAUAAGGAAUUUCAAACUAUAGAAUAAGUUAAAUGCUUAAUAAAUAUAUUUUUAUAUUUUUAUUUAUUUAUUUUAAAUAAUAUAUAAAAAAUAUAUUAAAGAAUAUAUUUCUAUAUAUAUUUGUCUAUAGUCAAGCCUAUAAUGGUUUAGGUAGUAGGUUUUAUUAAGAGUUAAACCUAGCCUUCGAUCCAUAGUUAAUAAUUAAAGUUAUAAUGACCACGUUGACUUUGAAAUAUAGUCAAUAUCUAAAUGAUACAGCAGUGAGGAAUAUUGAACAAUGAUCGAAAGAUUGAUUCAGUUACUUAUUAGGAUGAUAUAUAAUUAAUUAUAAACUAUAUUAUAGAAUAUAACAUAAUAUAUAUAAAUUGAUUAAAAAUAAAAUCCAUAAAUAGUUAAAAUAAUGAUAUUAACUACCAUAAAAAUUAUUAUGGAUAUAAUUUAUUAUUUUAUAUAAUAAAUUAUAUUUUAAUAGUCCUAACAAAUAUUUGUGCCAGCAGCUGCGGUAAUACAAAGGGGGCUAGCGUUAAUCAUAAUGGCUUAAAGGGUCCGUAGAAUUAUUUAUAUUAAAAAAUAAAUUCGAGUUAAUAAAUUUAAUUAAAGAAUUAUAAUAGUAAAGAUGAAAUAAUUAUAAUAAUUAUAAGACUUAUAUAUGUGAAAAUAUUAAUUAAAUAUUAACUGACAUUGAUGGACGAAAGCUAGAGUAGCAAUACGGAUUCGAUACCCGAGUAGUUCUAGCUGUAAACUAUGAACACCAUAAUUUAUAAAUUUUAUAAAUUAUAAAUGAAAAUGUAAGUGUUCCGCCUGAAGAGUACGUUCGCAAGAAUGAAACUCAAGACAAUAGACGGUUACAGACUUAAGCAGUGGAGCAUGUUAUUUAAUUCGAUAAUCCGCGACUAAUCUUACCAUAUUUUGAAUAUAAUAAUUAAUUUAAUUAAUAAAUUAUACAGGCGUUACAUCGUUGUCUUCAGUUCGUGCCGCAAGGUCUUAGAUUAAGUUCAUUAACGAACAUAACUCCAUAUAUAUAAUAUUAAAUUAUAUAUAAUAUUUAUAUUAUUAUAUAAAAUGAAAGGAAUUAAGACAAAUCAUGAUGAUCCUUAUAAUAUGGGUAAUAGACGUGCUAUAAUAAAAUAAUAAUAAAGUUAUAUAAUAAUUAAAAUUAUAAUUAAUAACAUAAAAUAUUUUAAUCUUUAAUAUAUAUAUAUAUUAUAUAUAAUAUGAAUUAUAAUCUGAAAUUCGAUUAUAUGAAAUAAGAAUUGCUAGUAAUACGUAAAUUAUUAUGUUACGGUGAAUAUUCUAACUGUUUCGCACUAAUCACUCAUCACGCGUUGAAACAUAAUAUUAUCCUAAUAUAUAUAUAUAAAUAUAUUAUAUAUAUCUUUUAUAUAUAUAAAUAUAUAUAUAUUUUAUAUAGAAGAAAUAUUAUGAAUUAAUGCGAAGUUGAAAUACAGUUACCGUAGGGGAACCUGCGGUGGGCUUAUAAUUAUC
rnacentral:ncRNA from 1 species